GCCCAGUGGUGCCUAUGUGGGGGUACCGGUAGUCCCAUCUACUAGGAAGGCUGAGUGAGGCAGGAGGAUCGCUUGAGCCUAGGCUGAUUGGGUGUCCUCACUAAGUUCUGCAUCAAUAUGGUGAUGUUCUGGGAGUGGGGACCACUAGGUUGCCUAAGGAGGGGUGAACUGGCCCAGGUUGGAAACGGACCAGCUGAAAACUCCCAUGCUAAUCAGUAGUGGUAUAUCCUGUGCCAGUCAUCAGUAGUGGUAUGUCCUGUGCCAAUCAUCAGU
rnacentral:SRP_RNA from 10 species